GGGCCAGACUCCUACGGGAGGCAGCAGUGGGGAAUAUUGCACAAUGGGGGGAACCCUGAUGCAGCGACGCCGCGUGAGUGGAGAAGUAUUUCGGUAUGUAAAGCUCUAUCAGCAGGGAAGAAGAUGACGGUACCUGACUAAGAAGCCCCGGCUAACUACGUGCCAGCAGCCGCGGUAAUACGUAGGGGGCAAGCGUUAUCCGGAUUUACUGGGUGUAAAGGGAGCGUAGACGGCAGGGCAAGUCUGGAGUGAAAGCCCGGGGCCCAACCCCGGGACUGCUUUGGAAACUGCCAUGCUAGAGUGCUGGAGAGGUAAGCGGAAUUCCUAGUGUAGCGGUGAAAUGCUUAGAUAUCACGAAGAACUCCGAUUGCGAAGGCAGCUCACUGGACUGCAACUGACACUGAGGCUCGAAAGUGUGGGUAUCAAACAGGAUUAGAUACCCCAGUAUG
rnacentral:rRNA from 1 species